rnacentral:rRNA from 1 species
AUCCCAUAAACCGUGGCUCAGUUCAGAUCGUAGGCUGCAACUCGCCUACGUGAAGUAGGAAUCGCUAGUAAUCGCAGGUCAGCAUACUGCGGUGAAUACGUUCCCGGGCCUUGUACACACCGCCCGCCACACCAUGGAAGUUGGCCAUGCCCGAAGUCGUUACUUCAACCCUUGUGGAGGAGGACGCCGAAGGUGGGGCUAAUGACUGGGGUGAAGUCGUAACAAGGUAGCCGUACCGGAAGGUGCGGCUGGAUUACCUCCUAA